AUUGAACGCUGGCGGCAGGCCUAACACAUGCAAGUCGAACGGAGUGGCGGACGGGUGAGUAAUGUAUGGGAAUCUGCCUGGUAGUGGGGGAUAACGUCCGGAAACGGGGGCUAAUACCGCAUACUAUCAGAUGAGCCUAGGUGGGAUUAGCUAGUUGGUGGGGUAAAGGCCCACCAAGGCGACGAUCCGUAACUGGUCUGAGAGGAUGAUCAGCCACACUGGAACUGAGACACGGCCCAGACUCCUACGGUAGGCAGCAGUGGGGAAUAUUGCACAAUGGGCGCAAGCCUGAUGCAGCCAUGCCGCGUGUAUGAAGAAGGUCUUCGGGUUGUAAAGUACUUUCAGUUGGGAGGCGUUACCCGCAGAAUAAGCACCGGCUAACUCCGUGCCAGCAGCCGCGGUAAUAC
rnacentral:rRNA from 1 species